UACGUAGGGCGCAAGCGUUAUCCGGAAUUAUUGGGCGUAAAGAGCUCGUAGGCGGUUUGUCGCGUCGACCGUGAAAACUUGGGGCUCAACCCCAAGCCUGCGGUCGAUACGGGCAGGCUAGAGUUCGGUAGGGGAGACUGGAAUUCCUGGUGUAGCGGUGAAAUGCGCAGAUAUCAGGAGGAACACCGGUGGCGAAGGCGGGUCUCUGGGCCGAUACUGACGCUGAGGAGCGAAAGCGUGGGGAGCGAACAGG
rnacentral:rRNA from 1 species